rnacentral:tRNA from 1 species
GAUGCGGUGGCCGAGCGGUCUAAGGCGCUGGAUUUAGGUUCCAGUCUAUUAAUUUAGGCGAGGGUUCGAAUCCCUUCCGCAUUA